UAAUAAGUGGUUAUGGCACUUCUUAAAUCCAUAUCCACCUUGUGUGCAAUGUCAGCCGUUUUCUUUAUGAAAGCGGCAAACAUCAACUUAUUUUUUAACUGUCUGUCUGAAAACUAUUAUGAAUAAACAAUUCAAAUA
rnacentral:misc_RNA from 1 species